rnacentral:rRNA from 1 species
GACGAACGCUGGCGGCGUGCCUAAUACAUGCAAGUCGAGCGGACAGACGGGAGCUUGCUCCCUGAUGUUAGCGGCGGACGGGUGAGUAACACGUGGGUAACCUGCCUGUAAAACUGGGAUAACUCCGGGAAACCGGGGCUAAUACCGGAUGGUUGUCUGAACCGCAUGGUUCAGACAUAAAAGGUGGCUUCGGCUACCACUUACAGAUGGACCCGCGGCGCAUUAGCUAGUUGGUGAGGUAACGGCUCACCAAGGCAACGAUGCGUAGCCGACCUGAGAGGGUGAUCGGCCACACUGGGACUGAGACACGGCCCAGACUCCUACGGGAGGCAGCAGUAGGGAAUCUUCCGCAAUGGACGAAAGUCUGACGGAGCAACGCCGCGUGAGUGAUGAAGGUUUUCGGAUCGUAAAGCUCUGUUGUUAGGGAAGAACAAGUGCCGUUCAAAUAGGGCGGCACCUUGACGGUACCUAACCAGAAAGCCACGGCUAACUACGUG